rnacentral:rRNA from 1 species
UACAGAGGGUGCAAGCGUUAAUCGGAAUUACUGGGCGUAAAGCGUGCGUAGGUGGUUCGUUAAGUCUGAUGUGAAAGCCCUGGGCUCAACCUGGGAAUGGCAUUGGAUACUGGCGACCUAGAGUGCGGUAGAGGGUGGCGGAAUUCCCGGUGUAGCAGUGAAAUGCGUAGAUAUCGGGAGGAACAUCCGUGGCGAAGGCGGCCACCUGGACCAGCACUGACACUGAGGCACGAAAGCGUGGGGAGCAAACAGG